GACAUUGUAGUUUAUUAAGAAUAUUGGGUUUGCGUCCUAAUGAUAGGUGUUUACCUUUAUGUCG
rnacentral:tRNA from 1 species